GCCACAGCUCAGUGGCAGAGCAUCUGCUUGGCAUGCAGAAGGCCUCAGGUUCAUUCCCUGGCACUUUCAGGUAGGGCU